rnacentral:misc_RNA from 1 species
AACCAUAGAAACCUGCGGAGUACCUGCGGAAGGAUCAUUACCGAGUGCGGGUCCGCGUGGCCCAACCUCCCACCCGUGCCUAUUGUACCCUGUUGCUUCGGCGGGCCCGCCAGCCUUCGGGCUGGCCGCCGGGGGGCGUCUCGCCCCCGGGCCCGUGCCCGCCGGAGACCCCAACAUGAACCCUGUUCUGAAAGCUUGGUGUCUGGGUGUGAUUGUUUGCAAUCAGUUAAAACUUUUAGC